AUUGAACGCUGGCGGCAUGCUUUACACAUGCAAGUCGAACGGCAGCGCGGGCUUCGGCCUGGCGGCGAGUGGCGAACGGGUGAGUAAUACAUCGGAACGUGCCCAGUAGUGGGGGAUAGCUCGGCGAAAGCCGGAUUAAUACCGCAUACGACCUGAGGGUGAAAGCGGGGGAUCUUCGGACCUCGCGCUAUUGGAGCGGCCGAUGGCAGAUUAGCUAGUUGGUGGGGUAAAGGCCUACCAAGGCGACGAUCUGUAGCUGGUCUGAGAGGACGACCAGCCGCACUGGGACUGAGGCACGGCCCAGACUCCUACGGGAGGCAGCAGUGGGGAAUUUUGGACAAUGGGCGAAAGCCUGAUCCAGCAAUGCCGCGUGUGUGAUGAAGGCCUUCGGGUUGUAAAGCACUUUUGGCGGGAACGAAAAGGACUGUGCCAAUACCACGGUUCGAUGACGGUACCCGCAGAAUAAGCACCGGCUAACUACGUG
rnacentral:rRNA from 1 species